ensembl:lncRNA
AUGACCUCUACUCCCAACCAAAGUCCAGAACUACAGGAUGUGGAGUCAGUAGUGGUCAAUCUUUUAUCCCUUAUUACUAAAAAUAUGACUGCCACUCAAACUUCCUCUACAGCAAGGCCAGAAGCAUCAUCAGAGGCUGUGGUGGCAAGAAGAACUGCACCCCUUACAAUAACCCCCAGCCCUCCUACAUUGUUGAGAAUGCAGCGUUCGAUGACCAGAGUCAUGAUUAUGGAAAUAACAUGGAAAGCCGGGUGCAGCGGGAGAUGACCAGAAGGGGAGAGCAGAGCAAGGGGAAGAGGAGGUUUGUACCGUCUCCAAGGACAUCGGUUAAAUUUGCCACAGACAAUCUGUGUGUCCUCCCUGGCCCUUCAUCACUUACCCCUAAGGGAUCAGCUGAAUUGCAACUAAUGCAGGCUGGCCUGGGGAAAAGACAGGUGUCUCUGCCAGAGGACAUGGACCACAAAGAGGUGAAAUCAACUGUGAUACUGGGUUAACUAUUUUAUGUAAUUGCAAUGUGCUGGGGCGAUUCAAGGACAGCAUUGAUUAUGGAAAUACGUCGAUUUACAUGCAUUGGCGCGUCACAGUGAAGUUCUGCACAUCUGCACGGAGUGUGUGCAGAUUAUUAAGAGAUUUGCAGAUCAUUAAAAUGCAGCUAAAAAAAACAUACGAUUGUCUCAAGUUUGAAAGUAUUAAGAGUAUUUCUGGUAGAAAUAAAAGAUGAGUGAAAUGUUAUUUUGCUUCUGAA